UUGACGGUGUAGUCCCACAGCGCGGUGUCGUCGGUCAGGCUCUGCUCGCCGAACCGGUCGCCGUCGGCCAGCACACCGAGCUGGGUGGGCGCGUCGUACGCGUCCAGACCGGCCNNNNNNNNNGGUGCAGCUGGUCGAUCGGCUCGCCGAGCUCGGCCAGCACCUCACCGGCUCGGAACUCGCGCUGGACGCACCGGCCGGCCAGCGCAAGCAGCACGUCCGGGUCGUCGAAGCCGCGCAGCAGCGCCAGCUCACCCAGCUCGGCCGGGAUGACCCGGACCUCGGAGCCGGUCUUCACGAAGUCGAUCCGGCCGUCGCCGACCGUGUACGUCAGGCGGCGGUUGACCCGGUAGGCCCCACCGGCGGUCUGCACCCAGGGAAGUACCUUGAGCAGCCAGCGGGAGGUGAUCUCCUGCAUCUGCGGGGCGGACUUGGUCGUGGUGGCGAGAUUGCGCGCAGCGGCUGUGCCGAGGCUCAGCUGCUUCUCCU
rnacentral:antisense_RNA from 1 species